GGCGAACGCUGGCGGCAGGCCUAACACAUGCAAGUCGAACGAACUCUUCGGAGUUAGUGGCGGACGGGUGAGUAACACGUGGGAACGUGCCUUUUGGUUCGGAAUAACUCAGGGAAACUUGUGCUAAUACCGAAUGUGCCCUUCGGGGGAAAGAUUUAUCGCCAUUAGAGCGGCCCGCGUCUGAUUAGCUAGUUGGUGAG
rnacentral:rRNA from 1 species